AUCCGCGAUCACUUGUUGUAUGA
rnacentral:miRNA from 3 species